AUCGCUUCUAUUUCUAGAAGGAACAGAUAAACUUCGACUCAUAUGCUUGUUCUACUACUUGUUGAAUUGUACACAAAGGCACGUUUUAUAACAUCAAGUUACUGAUGCGUUUACGUGCAAUCAAUGCACAACCAACUCAUAGGUAACAACUCAUAUCUCUAGGUUUGAAGAUUUAUAUGAUAUUACCGUCUCACGAUCACUCGAGAUAAAUUCCAUGAAGUGAUACAAGUGAGCGUGGGUUUAUUCCAAUACUCAUAACUUAUGAGCACUCAUGAAUGUUGUAGCAACCAUCGCCAUGACUAAACUCAUUUAGCCAUCUACAAACCCGAUUCAUGACAGUCUUGAUUCAUACCUACUUCCAACAUAUGAACGACUGUGGAGUGUUUAAAUAACUUAGUCAUUCAGAAAGAAUAAGCUAGCUAUUUUGGAAGUCAAAACAUGCAAAGUGAAACACUAUAAUAAUCGAAUCUAAUAUUGUCUCAGAACCCUUCUGAAUAUAAAUAAAACCACCUUUCAUUUAUCACCAUAUUGAUUACACAUUAUUCAAUGUUUCAAAUAAUCAACUUAAGACUUGAAUAAAACAAUAUUUAUCCCAUGCUCCUAGCAUGUACACUUUGUUUUUCUAAACAAUAGUUAUGCCAUAUUUCAAGUAUGUAUAAUAAUCGAAUCUAAUAUUGUCUCAGAACCCUUCUGAAUAUAAAUAAAACCACCUUUCAUUUAUCACCAUAUUGAUUACACAUUAUUCAAUGUUUCAAAUAAUCAACUUAAGACUUGAAUAAAACAAUAUUUAUCCCAUGCUCCUAGCAUGUACACUUUGUUUUUCUAAACAAUAGUUAUGCCAUAUUUCAAGUAUGCACACUAUGUUUGUCUAUGAUCCUUAAAUUGUGAUGUAGAUCAAUUGAACAUCAUUCCAUUGAUACUCAUUUCACAAUCCCAAAUCCUUAUUGUAAAUGUGAGAAUCCCCGAUUCCUAUCAUUUACCAAAAAAAACUGUUAGAUUUUAAAACUUUUAUGCAAUGUUCCUCUUGUAAUGAUUAUUCACAAAGUCACCAAAACCUUGUCACCAGUCAUUACAGAGUAUUCCAAAAAAGGUCAACUUCUAUGGAACGGAAGUCUCAUAUUCAAAGUACAUUUCUUUGAACAUCCUUCUUGCAUUAAGGUUUUCUAAUCUUACAUAGAUUGAAUAACUUCCACCUAUGGAGACAUUUCCAUAGUCCCAUUUGACUAUCACUUCUGAACAAGAGUUACCUCUCUUCAGAAAAUGUCAAUAUGGUCCUACCAAAAUUAACACUAGACUUCCAAAUUCCCCUGAGUAACCAAUCUUUGGCAAACCUCAGAUUGUCCUCGACAAUUGCUUAAUCACUUUAGUCAUAUCCAGUUCUAGACUUUUCCCUCCUCAAUGCCUUAAGCAUUUGGAAAAUUUAGAAAAGAUGAAUAUUAUAGCACAUGCAAUCGAUCCUAUAUCCGAAGCAUAUGGGACAUGAUUCAUGAUGUUUGACAUAAAUACAUGAUACUAGACCAGUCUUUUGCUACAAUAUUUUUAUUUGCCAUGUUUUCAAAAUUUAACUAUGAAGAGGGAUGUCGUAAACAUAAUCGAAUUUUGAAAACGCAAUAUAUAUAGAAUUUCUUCAAGUUGAACCAUUCCAACACAAAAUUCAUAUAUAUUCUUGACUAAAGAUGAUUAAAAUCUCAAUCUAAGCUUUAAGAAUUGAAAUGAAGUAUAAUUUCCUCUCCCUUAAUUAUAGC
rnacentral:lncRNA from 1 species